AGAGUUUGAUCCUGGCUCAGAUUGAACGCUGGCGGCAUGCUUUACACAUGCAAGUCGAACGGAAACAAGUCUUCGGAUGCUGACGAGUGGCAUACGGGUGAGUAAUACAUCGGAGCGGGCCUAUGACUGGGGGAUUGCUACGCUGAGGAGUAUCUCAUUCCGCAUGAAAUCUACGGAUGAAAUGAUGGCACCUUCCGGCCUUGGGCUACUUUAGCGGCUGAUGGCACAUGAUGUACUUGGGGGGGAAAAGGCUUACCGUGCCUGCAAUCUGCACCUGGGCUGAGAUGACUACCUGCCCCGAUGGGACUGACACCCGGCCCGGACUCCUACCGGAGGCCGCACUGCGGAAUUUUGGACAAUGGGCGAAAGCCUGAUCCAGCAAUGCCGCCUGAUGGAUGAAUGCCCUCGGGUUGAAAACUGCUUUUGUACUGAACAAAAAUUCUGGGGCUAAUAUCCCCGGGUCCUGACGGUACCGUAUUAAUAAACACCGGCUAACUACGAGCCACC
rnacentral:rRNA from 1 species